AUGAACCUUUGAGGGUUGAGCUGGCGAUUUAAUUCGCAUGUGCUUGCCCUCUCAUCCUUUUAACACCUGUGCACCUUUUGAAGGGGAAUAGUAGAUUAGACUAGUCUAGUCGAGAUCCCCCUUCUAAAUCACAUACACUUUAUUUAUUAUCGAAUGUUCAAACGCUUAACAGCAUUUAAAUA
rnacentral:misc_RNA from 2 species